UACGUAGGGUGCAAGCGUUGUCCGGAAUUAUUGGGCGUAAAGGGCUCGUAGGCGGUCCAUCGCGUCGGGAGUGAAAAGCUGGGGCUCAACCCCAGUCCUGCUUCCGAUACGGGUGGACUAGAGGUAUGCAGGGGAGAACGGAAUUCCCGGUGUAGCGGUGAAAUGCGCAGAUAUCAGGAGGAACACCAGUGGCGAAGGCGGCUCACUGGUCCGGUACUGACGCUGAGAAGCGAAAGCAUGGGGAGCGAACAGG
rnacentral:rRNA from 1 species